rnacentral:pre_miRNA from 1 species
UUAACUCUAAUUUGUAUGGAAUGGGAUCGUUUGCCUACGUUUGCCGCUAGGGACGCUGUUACAACUGCAUACAAAAUUGGCUUA